rnacentral:rRNA from 1 species
AGUGAACGCUGGCGGUAGGCCUAACACAUGCCAGUCGAACGGCAGCACAGUAAGAGCUUGCUCUUACGGGUGGCGAGUGGCGGACGGGUGAGGAAUACAUCGGAAUCUACUUUUUCGUGGGGGAUAACGUAGGGAAACUUACGCUAAUACCGCAUACGACCUACGGGUGAAAGCAGGGGAUCUUCGGACCUUGCGCGAUUGAAUGAGCCGAUGUCGGAUUAGCUAGUUGGCGGGGUAAAGGCCCACCAAGGCGACGAUCCGUAGCUGGUCUGAGAGGAUGAUCAGCCACACUGGAAUUGAGACACGGUCCAGACUCCUACGGGAGGCAGCAGUGGGGAAUAUUGGACAAUGGGCGCAAGCCUGAUCCAGCCAUACCGCGUGGGUGAAGAAGGCCUUCGGGUUGUAAAGCCCUUUUGUUGGGAAAGAAAAGCAGCAGGUUAAUACCCCGCUGUUCUGACGGUACCCAAAGAAUAAGCACCGGCUAACUUCGUG